AUUGAACGCUGGCGGCAUGCUUUACACAUGCAAGUCGAACGGUAACAGGCCGCAAGGUGCUGACGAGUGGCGAACGGGUGAGUAAUGCAUCGGAACGUGCCCAGUCGUGGGGGAUAACGCAGCGAAAGCUGUGCUAAUACCGCAUACGAUCUAUGGAUGAAAGCGGGGGACCGUAAGGCCUCGCGCGAUUGGAGCGGCCGAUGUCAGAUUAGGUAGUUGGUGGGGUAAAGGCCCACCAAGCCAACGAUCUGUAGCUGGUCUGAGAGGGCGACCAGCCACACUGGGACUGAGACACGGCCCAGACUCCUACGGGAGGCAGCAGUGGGGAAUUUUGGACAAUGGGCGCAAGCCUGAUCCAGCAAUGCCGCGUGCAGGAAGAAGGCCUUCGGGUUGUAAACUGCUUUUGUACGGAACGAAACGGUCUGGGUUAAUACCCUGGGCUAAUGACGGUACCGUAAGAAUAAGCACCGGCUAACUACGUGCCAGCCGCCGCCGUAA
rnacentral:rRNA from 1 species